rnacentral:lncRNA from 1 species
GUCUGCUCUUAGAUGUGGUUUAAACCAUGGUUUAAUUUUACGAGCAUGCGCACUUGAGGAGUUUGUGAAAAAUCCGUGAAGCGAAGAAAAUUUUUCUUGCGGUCCUGGACCUGACAAGUGGUCUUCUUGAUUAGAAGUUCAAUAACAUCGGCAUCAGAGGUACCAUACAGUGUAGGUCUCUAUGGAUUAUCUCCAUCUUCUUCACAGCUUUAAAUUACUAAAAGCUACCUUUCCCAAGACAUUGUGGGCUCCAUGAUGCUAAAAAUCCAUCGAAAUCGUACAAGGAUGGGCCAUCUCGAGAUCAGUAUCGACUGUCAAAAGAAACCGUCACCAAUAUGCUGGAAGCCGAAAUGAAGAGGGACACACAGCUCAGAGGAUAGAUCAACUUCCUGUUUAUUUGCAGGUGUUGACAACUCUCCAUUUUUAUGCAGUGGGAUCAUUUUAAAAGAUGCAUGGUGAUGAGGCAGCAAUAUCACAGUCAUCAAUGUGUCAGAAGCUAAAGCAUGAAGGAAGAGGCAAUACAUGAAGAUUCCUACAAGAGAAGAAGUUGAAGCAACUCGGAGACAGUUCUAACUGUUAGAUUUCCAGGAGUGAAAGGUGCAAUUGAUGGGACACAUGUCUACAUCAAGAGCCGGGGGGGGGGGGGGGGGGGGAUUGGGCCAUAUGCUUCUUAUAUACCCCUUCCAACUUCAUGUGGAGAGGAAUGCCUAUAACAAUGGCAAAAGCAUUAAGAACAUAGAAACACAGAGUUCAUUCAAAUUUAUGAAGAAUACUUUACUUCUUUAUUUGUUAAUAAAUUGAUUAUUAUAACCCUGUGAUUCCUGCAUCUUAGCUUCAGCAACCUCUCUUUCUUUAUUCAAAACGUCCAUUCGUAGUUUGUGCUCCUUCAAGCUCAUAUCGUGUCUUUCAAUCUCAUUUCAUGCUCUUUCAAUCUCAUAUCAUGUUCUUUCACUCUCAUCUUGUACUCUUUAUAAAGUCGAGACCAUGUUUCUUCCAUUGAACUUCAAUUCUAAUGACAUGCACUUCUACCAGCUCAAGCUCUUCUGACAGAUGAUUCUUUUUUCCUUGAGAUGGGUAAUUCAAAUUCCAUUUUGCAGAACAAAGGUUUGUGGUAUUGCUGCAGGGUUAAAAUUCAAUAUUGAAAUGCAUUUAAGUACAUAACAUAUAGUAACAGUACAGUUGUAAAACACAUACUAUAAAUCAUGUUGUCAAAGAUGUAUGUUGUUUAGCGUACUGGUAACUCUCUACUUGAUAGGUUCAGCUUCUGACACCAAUGUACAUUGUGUUUUCUUAUUGUUCUCGGAACCAUAAAUUUAAUUUUUGAAAACAUUAAAGACUUAAUUAUAAAAAUUUCUUUAAAAACAGACAACAAUGCAAUGCAUUCUUUUCAGAAGUAUACAAUAUUCAGUGCACAGUUCAUUGAAUUGCUUGAAUCUGGUAACAUACAUAUAUUGAAGCCCUUUUCAUACUUCAAAUGAUUCACCCUCCCAGUUCAGUUUUAUAAAUCCCUCUUCACCUCUAAAUACCUUACUACAUAUCUGUAGUAUAUUCAGAUUAUUUUGUGUGUACCAGUAUAUUGUGCAUCCAAUUGAUCUUGUUAUUACAUGUACAUGUACUUGUACUUGAUUUGGGGAUCAUGUUUAAUUUGCUACAGUAUUUAACAUCUAUUUCAACUACUUCUGAUAUACGAGUCUGGCCAAAAAAUAUUCUGGCAGAAAGGGUCAAUGGAAAAGGGAAAAAAAGGCAUGGUAAUUUUAAUGAUACUAAAUUACCUUGAAGAGGAAUGCGAUUUUGAAGAAAUUCCACCAGUCUGGGAAUGUUUCCUUGAUACCUCAGACAAAUGAAUUUGUAGAAUUUGUCCUUGUGAAAGAAAUAGAUGAACUUCUGUUCUUUUUCAGAUUUAUAAAUAUCAACAAUGUGUCACAUUCAUCUCAGUUGGGAGGGUUUUAUUAUUUUGUUUCAAGGAAAGUGAUGAAUACUCUUGAUAAUGUAAUUAUAUUAUGAUUUGGGAAGUAUUUUGAGAGGUCCACUAUGUGAGAUA